UGGGGAAUUUUGCGCAAUGGGGAAAGCCCUGACGCAGCAACGCCGCGUGGAGGAUGAAGUCCUUCGGGACGUAAACUCCUUUCGAUCGGGACGAUAAUGACGGUACCGGAAGAAGAAGCCCCGGCUAACUUCGUGCCAGCAGCCGCGGUAAUACGAGGGGGGCGAGCGUUGUUCGGAAUUAUUGGGCGUAAAGGGUGCGUAGGCGGUUUGGUAAGUCUUGUGUGAAAUCUCCGGGCUCAACUCGGAGCCUGCACGAGAAACUGCCGGGCUUGAGUGUGGGAGAGGUGAGUGGAAUUCCUGGUGUAGCGGUGAAAUGCGUAGAUAUCAGGAGGAACACCUGUGGCGAAAGCGGCUCACUGGACCAUAACUGACGCUGAUGCACGAAAGCUAGGGGAGCAAACAGGAUUAGAUACCC
rnacentral:rRNA from 1 species